CAGGCUGAGCCACGCUGGCUUGGAGAAAUUGUUCCUGAAAGUCCCUGGCAAGAAGUGGACUGCUGUGGGCUGUUAACCUGCCAUGCAAAUCGACAAGUAAACAGUCUCCAAUGAGAAUCCCAGAAGCCCAGUUCAUUCCAGAGACCCAGACACUUACUUGGGACUCCAGCUCCUGCAAUCAUGAGGAGAAAGUCCACACUCUAAGGAUGAUGGAACAGGAAGAUAGUACGAGUCUGGUACCUUAAUGACCUCCCUGAGCAGCUGUACCUGCCUUAUGCUGUCUAUCUCUAUACUUCUUGUUGCAUUGAAAGGUGCAACCCCCCCCGGUAGCUGUGGACGUAUUGAUGGCAGGAAAUGCUGAGGCUCAGUGGGGCACCUCAGAAAACAUGUGGGUAUCAGGCUCCUGUAGAAGUAAAACAGGAGAGCAGAAGGUAUUGGAUGAGCAGACGCAGAGGAGCCUAUCUUUGGGAAGGAGUAGUGAAGACAAGAGAGAACGUAGAGACACAUUAUAUAACAGAAAAAGUCGACAGGGGUCAGUUGAUCUGGUCCUAGCCCUGGGCCUGCCACUAACCAGCUGUAUCAUGUCCCUGGGCUUCAGUCUACAGAAUGAAGGAUUUGAGCUGGAUCAGUGGUUCCCAACUUUAUAACCAUCAAAAAGGAGGACCCUGUAUUUUUUGAAAGAUUUUUCUCUACCAGACUGCAUUUACCAAACAAUUCAUAUUCUGAGAAUACUGUGUUGAUGUAAUUCCAGCCCAAAGCAAAGAAAACCUUUUGAUUUAGCUUAAUUAAUCUUACCAUAGGAUGAAAUUUUCAUUAGUUUUUUGGAAAAAUUGAAAAUGUCUCUCAGGUCCAUACAAUUAUCUUUGAGGACAUGUGGUGACCUAGCGAUCUUGAGCACGGGCCCAGGAGAGGGCUGAGGCCCAGUUCUGUCUCCCAUGAUGCAGAUCCCUGUGUUCCUAGCAGCCAGUGGAGGCACAUUUUCCAUCCUGCUGCCAGCCCUGGUUCUGACUUCUAGUGACAAGGGCUACUUCAUUUCCUUUAUAAAAAACAAGCCUGUCCAAAUGGCACGUUCCCGCUGGUGGGAGGGCACAUCUUUUGCCCUGCAUGCCUGCCAGUCCUCCUCAAAGGCAGCCUUCUUCCACCCCACCCCACCUCCCUCCUCACCCUAGGAGGAAGCCAUCUCACCCAAAUUUUCAUCCCAUUUACCUUACGCUGUGAUCUGUUCACCUGAGAGACCUGAAGACCCUCUCAGCUGGUCUGAAGAACAAGCCCUGACCCCUGCCCUCAGGUAUCUCCAUCUGCUGUUGAAGAGAGAAGGGCAGAGAUCCCCAACUCAGCUGUAAUGGAACAUUCAAUAUGCUGUUGGAACACUGAAUGGUCACUUCUGCUUGGAACAGUAAAAUCAGGAAGAGGCGAAGGAGGAGGUGA